rnacentral:rRNA from 1 species
ACGUAGGGUGCAAGCGUUGUCCGGAAUUAUUGGGCGUAAAGAGCUCGUAGGCGGUUUGUCGCGUCGAAUGUGAAAACCCGGGGCUCAACCCCGGGCCUGCAUUCGAUACGGGCAGACUAGAGUUCGGUAGGGGAGUCUGGAAUUCCUGGUGUAGCGGUGAAAUGCGCAGAUAUCAGGAGGAACACCGGUGGCGAAGGCGGGACUCUGGGCCGAUACUGACGCUGAGGAGCGAAAGCGUGGGGAGCAAACAGGAUUAGAUACCCUGGUAGUCCACGCCGUAAACGUUGGGCGCUAGGUGUGGGGUUCCUUCCACGAACUCCGUGCCGCAGCUAACGCAUUAAGCGCCCCGCCUGGGGAGUACGGCCGCAAGGCUA